GAUGAACGCUGGCGGCGUGCCUCCUACAUGCAAGUCGAGCGAAGAGGGGACGGGUGAGUAACACGUGGAUAACCUCCUAUAAGACUGGGCUAACUUCGGGAAACCAGAGCUAAACCGGCUCCUUAUAGCUUGAUCCGCGCUGCAUUAGCUAGUUGGUAAGGUAACGGCUUACCAAGGCAACGAUGCAUAGCCGACCGGAGAGGGUGAUCGGACACACUGGAACUGAGACACGGUCCAGACUCCUACGGGAGGCAGCAGUAGGGAAUCUUCCGCAAUGGGCGAAAGCCUGACGGAGCAACGCCGCGUGAGUGAUGAAGGUCUUCGGAUCGUAAAACGCUGUGAUUAGGGAAGCGGUAAAUAAACAGAAAGCCACGGCUAACUACGUGCCAGCCGCAGCGGUAAUAG
rnacentral:rRNA from 1 species